rnacentral:rRNA from 1 species
GUCUCAGUUCGGAUUGAAGGCUGAAAUUCGCCUUCAUGAAGCCGGAAUUGCUAGUAAUGGCAGGUCAGCAUACUGCCGUGAAUACGUUCCCGGGCCUUGUACACACCGCCCGUCACACCAUGAGAGUUGGGGAUACCCGAAGCCUGUGAGCUAACUUUUAGAGGCAGUAGUCGAAGGUAGAAUCAAUGAUUGGGGUGAAGUCGUAACAAGGUACC